rnacentral:snRNA from 1 species
GUGCUCACUUCGGCAGCACACAUACUGAAGUUGGAACAAUACAGAGAAGAUUAGCAUGGCCCCUGCGCAAGGAUGAGGUGCAAAUUUGUGAAACAUUCCAUAUUUUU